GCGCCGCUGGAGGAUCGGCACGACGUGGUCGACGAAGGCGGUCAGCCCGGUCGGCAGGACGGGCGCCAUGAUGUUGAAGCCGUCCGCGGCGCCC
rnacentral:tRNA from 1 species